AUCAUCCUGUUUCUACAUUACAUUGCUGUAUCUAUUCUAUUCUACCUUGAUACCGUGUCAUAAUAAUAUUAUGCUGUGCUACAAAAUUUGUAAUGCUAUAUUUUGUUGGUGCUGGCUUUUGUGGAGCUCAAUCAGUGGGAGAAAGAGAGAGAGGGAAGAGGAGACCAGUACGCAGUGUGUUUGUUUUUAGAGAACCAUUCUCACUUAAAGAUAAUUGAUUGUAUAUAUGGCAACUUUUCUCUGAAUCUGAUGACUGACUUUGUGACUGACAAUAUUGAACCUUCGGCUGAUGGAGAUCAAUUCCUAGCCUGAACCCAUGUUCUGAAGUUGCUUGCAUUUGGAUUACCCAGCAGACACACAGAUUCCACAGAUGUGGGCCAGUCACAGAACACUAGGGCUUAUUCAUUUUAAAAGUUUCCAAUUUUCAAUUCAGUGCUCGGUACAUAAAAGACACUCCACAAAUAUCUUUUGGAUAAGUGAAUGAAUACAGAAAUGAAUGAAUAAUUAUGGUCGCUAUUUGUCCUCAGAAGGAAAGGUAAUUAUGAGACGAGUAAGUGUUGCACCAAAUCUAGGAGAAAUUUUAAAUAAAACAAUAAGCCUAAGAAAUAAACAAGAUUUUUUUUUCAUCCUAUGAGAGAUUUUGCAAGUUAGAUCUACUUUUGUUUGCUGAAGAAAACGCCAUCUUUGGGCAAAAACUGGAUAAAGUUGAGUAACUUUGUCCUUUAAUAAUUUGGAUAAGUUUGUGGAAAUUGGACGAGUCACAUAAUCUCCUUGUUUUCUUGUCCCCUGGACUAGGUGAUCUCUGAAGUCCCUUUCAGGUCAAAAGUAUCUAUGAAUCUAUUCAUUUAUAAAUGUGAUGCUUUGUGCUCAUUUUUUUUUUCUUGCAACAUUGGAAAAGUACACAAUCUUCAUUAUAAAACCAGGUCUGAGUCCAGAUUGAAAGGGCCCCAGGAAAGCGCAGAAUUCCAGGAGGUUUUGCAAGAAUAUCCUCUCAUUAAAGGAAUGCUCGUAAGAGGAAAAUAAGAGCUCUAUUAACAGAUUUCUCUACAGAAGAGCUGUAUGAAGGCCCCUUCAUGGAGCACAUGAAUCUUAGCAAGAAAAGCAUUCUCCUCUGCGGAAGUCUUGUUGAGCACAGAUCGGCAAACUGAAGCAUAAAAUGUUAAAUUUGCCCAAGAUUAUGGACCUAGUCAGCGUUUGAGCCAAACCUGAGCGAGAUAGUAUGGAUCCAGAAGCCUUGCUCUUAACCACUCUGCUGUGCUGCCGUCUCAGGAUAUUGUCUAGCUAUUGACGAAAGCUGAAAUAGACCAAGUCAUGAACAUUUACUGGGAGCCCACCAUGCUAAAUGCUGCUAGGGACUGAGAGGAGUGAAAUAAUGAGGACUUCACUGCUGCUCUUACCCAGCUAACCAAUAAGCAACUUGCUCCAGUUGGAAUGAAAAUGAGGGCUGGAAUCGAGGUUCUGGGGAGAGGGGAAGGUAGAAUUUGAAGAAUAGGAUUUUAAUAGAUAAAACAGAGAGCAUUUCAGGUUCAAGCAACAGCAUGGGUUUCAGGCUGCGCCUAAUAGGCCUGUCUGCACAGAUUGUGAGACAUGCGGUGGAGGGAUGAGGUGUGGCUCUUAGAAGGUUUGAAUGCUGUGCUAUGGAGUCUCAAUGUAAUGCUACAGGCAAUAAGGAGAAAUUUGGCUUUUACUUGGAAUAUAAUUCUGGAGAGGGCAUGGUGGGCUGUAAUCUAAGCAGGAGGAAUGAGAAAUUAAAUCAGGGCAGUUUCAGUGACAAGUGUGAAAAAGGAUGGCAUGGUGGAUGUUGUGAUAUGGUUCCCAGACCCUCUGAAAGAAUAAAGGUCUUAUGCUCCAAGUCACUGGGAGUGCUGCCGGCAGAGAGCCCUCAGCUGUCAAGCCCCUUUACCCAAGGUCACGCCGUCUUCCUGGGGAGGUUGGUAUCCAAUGAUUGACUACUGUGGGGGUAUAAAGGUCCCUAUCUAUCACCACAGCUCAGGACAGCUCUGAAGGAUCAUCCCAGCUUCAGAACUCCCUGCCUUGCAGUUGGACUUCUUUCUCGGCCCAAUCCUGCUUCCUUCCCUUCUCUUCAACAGAUUGUAUUCUAAGAGCACUCGCUCUAUAAUAAAUCUCCUCCAUGCUAAUCUCUGUUUUAAAGUCUGAAUCCUGGGAAACUUAAUCUGCUCCCAAUGGCUAUAUGGUGUGUUGUAGAAACAAAACCCACAGUUGGGCAUUUAGGCAGGGAUGUAGCAAGUGAAAGAGAAGGACAAGUCAAAGAAGAUGCCCAACCAAGGUAGUUAGAAGGAUGAUGGUCUAAGCUAGCCUGGCCUCUCCCCUGGACAACUAUAAAAGUCCCCUCAAUGACCUCCCUGUUUCUCUUUUUGUCCCCUACAAUCUGCUCUUCACACAUAGGCCAGAGGGAUCACGUACAGAAGAAAAGUCCUUAGCAUACCUAAAAUACUUUAUGUAAUCUGGCCCCCGAUACCUCCCAACCUCUCCAUGCUCCCCAUGUUCCAGCCACCCCAGCCUGCUUGCAGUUCUGGAACAUGUAAGCCAUGCACUAGUGGGUUCCCCAGAUAUUCCCAAGGCUCCAUCUCUCAUUCCAUUUACAUUUCUCUGCUCAACAACUCCUUCUCAAGGCGGCCUUCCCAAUUACCCCAUUUACAAUAGAAACCCCUGUCAUUUUCUAUCC
ensembl:lncRNA